rnacentral:rRNA from 1 species
AUUAGUGGCGAACGGGUGAGUAACACGUGGGCAAUCUGCCCUUCACUCUGGGACAAGCCCUGGAAACGGGGUCUAAUACCGGAUAACACUCCUGCCUGCAUGGGCGGGGGUUAAAAGCUCCGGCGGUGAAGGAUGAGCCCGCGGCCUAUCAGCUUGUUGGUGGGGUAAUGGCCCACCAAGGCGACGACGGGUAGCCGGCCUGAGAGGGCGACCGGCCACACUGGGACUGAGACACGGCCCAGACUCCUACGGGAGGCAGCAGUGGGGAAUAUUGCACAAUGGGCGAAAGCCUGAUGCAGCGACGCCGCGUGAGGGAUGACGGCCUUCGGGUUGUAAACCUCUUUCAGCAGGGAAGAAGCGAAAGUGACGGUACCUGCAGAAGAAGCGCCGGCUAACUACGUGCCAGCAGCCGCGGUAAUACGUAGGGCGCAAGCGUUGUCCGGAAUUAUUGGGCGUAAAGAGCUCGUAGGCGGCUUGUCACGUCGGAUGUGAAAGCCCGAGGCUUAACCUCGGGUCUGCAUUCGAUACGGGCUAGCUAGAGUGUGGUAGGGGAGAUCGGAAUUCCUGGUGUAGCGGUGAAAUGCGCAGAUAUCAGGAGGAACACCGGUGGCGAAGGCGGAUCUCUGGGCCAUUACUGACGCUGAGGAGCGAAAGCGUGGGGAGCGAACAGGAUUAGAUACCCUGGUAGUCCACGCCGUAAACGUUGGGAACUAGGUGUUGGCGACAUUCCACGUCGUCGGUGCC